rnacentral:lncRNA from 1 species
UGAUAGAUCAUAGUUGUUUUAAUUCUUAGUUCUUUAAUUAGUAGUAAUUUAGAGCAUUAAAAAAAUCCAUCUGAGAAUUGCUUGUUCAUAUCAUUUGUAAAAGAGGAAUCUGCCAGAAGGAAGAGAGAGGCAGAUUUGGCAGGCUGAAGGACCAAGUAGAACAGGGAAAGCACAGGAAGGAGAUAGAGUUCUAAAGGAAGGGGAGAGGAAGUAAGAGGAUCUGUACAGUUGGAAGGGACUUCUCUUUGGGAAGCUCACCAGAGAGGCUGACCUGAACAGAUCUCUGAGCAGGCACAAUCCUCCUGUGACUUCUGACCCAGCAUCCAGUGAAAACAGCAGGGUGCUCAGUGGAAUGGAACUUCUCACUCCCCCAUUAACUAGUCUCAGACAGACAAAUGUUUUGCAACAAGCAAGUUAAUACUCAGACAUUUCAAAUGCUGCAUAGUUUCAUCUCUGUGGAACUCCACUAGUCAAACAAGAAAUCUUUAUGAAGUCAGUCUUCAUGAGUUACUAUCACCAAAAAUUUGUAUUACUUGAUGACCAUCUUUCCAAUAAAAAACUCUUCUGAAUAUAGUCA